CUUCGAUUCAAUAGAUAACCUAGUGCCUAUCCACUGAGAAUCAAGGACUGCUAGUGAAGCAAAACUGUUUCCUGGCAAAUGCAUACAGGAUUGAUGGACGAAUUAGCAGCAAGUAAGGUAACUGUAUGCUCAUGGUAAAGGAUAUGUUAAAGUGGGAAUAAGGAAAGGAUAUCAAACAAGGUCUGAAAAAACAGAUUUGAACCUGUCUGCUGAAUGUAAGCUGUUAAAUGAGAAUGACCAUAAUACCCCAGAGAACUUCUGUGAGGAUUAAAUGGAUAUGCAAAAGCUCUCGACAUAAUACCUGGCUCAAGACAUCUGGGGAGGCAUUCAACUGGGACCUGCAGGAUUCGCUUUCAAUGUGGCUCACCCACAUGGCCAGGAGUGCAGACCAGGACCAGCUGUUUCUCUCCACAUGGGUUUCUUCAAGGACUUCUUGGGCUUCUUCAGAGCAUGCCAGCUGGAUUUCGUGAGUAAGCAUCUUAAGAG
rnacentral:lncRNA from 10 species